UGAUUUGCUCUUAAGAAGUUUGUUUGAGUGAUUUAGCUACUUGACUGGUUUCAAAUACUAUUAUUUGAUAUCUGUCUAGUGUGCUGUUUGCAGUGUGAAGUUUUAUAAUAAAAAGUGAUACUGUGCUGCGCUGUGUUGGUGUAGAGAAGAAAGAAAUAGCAGGUCUGUUUUUGACAGAAGAAGACUAAUAGCACAACAAAGGUAAAACAGCAGGUAAAACAACAGAUAAAACAACAGGUUUGCAUUUUGAACUUGAAAUCACAGCAGACUUAUUAUGGAAUCAUAGAGACAUAAAGACAGAUGUGCUUGACUGUUUUGGUUUUGUUAUUUUAGCAACAGCAGGAUCUGGUUUAGUAUGUGCAUGUGACAAGUUCUGUUUUGCUUUUGGGAUUGUAAAUAGCAGCUACACAGUGUGCAGCAGCAGCAACUUCAAAGCAAACAGUCAACUGCAGCUCACAGUUCUACAACAGCAGCUCAUAUUUCUUUGAAACAGAAAGUUUAGUGCAGCAACAGUUUUGACAACAGGUUUCAAAAAAGCAGCAAACAUUCUGUUUAAAAGCUGUGAAUUACGCAUUUGUUUGAAUCGAGUUUAAACAUUCUGUUUGGUAUUUCUGUGUUUGUUAUUUGAGCAGCAAGAUUUGAAACAGCAGGUUUGUUGGUGUAGAGACUGCUUAAAGUCUGUCUAGUUUGCUAUUUCAGAUCUGUUUAUAUAGUUACAGAACAGGUAAUAGCAGGUUUAAAACAGAAUUGAAGCUGCUGCAUUUCUAUAAAACAGGACUAAAACAGCAGCAGCUGUAUAGUGAUCUGUUUGCAGGCUGAACUCAACAUGUCUGAGAUAAGAACACAACAAGAAUUGAGAUCAGAUUAGCAAUACAGCUCAGCAGUUGACAGCAGACUGUUUAAGAAACUUUGAAACAGUAACUACAAAGUGCACAGUCUGCAGAAGAUCCAAUUUAGAGAUGUGAUAAGUGGAUGCAUACAAGAAGCAUUCAAGUGGAUUUUUGGAUAGAACUUCGAGAGCAGAUAGUAUAUUUUUUUUGUUCCACAUCUGUAUUGUAAAGAGUUGAUAUUGUUUGAU